UUUUAACAGGAAGACAUUAAAGGAUUAAACAGAAAGAGAAAAUGAGAGUGCGAGAAUAAGACCUGACAAUAAAAGACACCGGAGGAGACACGGGAGGAGGAAGCCGUCUCCGAUCCAAUGAAAUGGAAGAACCGGUCAGGUGUAGGAGAUGUGUAGCAAACUGCAGGAUGAUGUUGAGCACCGAGGUCGUGCCGACAAAGAAAUCGGAGCGGAGAUGGACCCAGCAACAACGUUGUUGACUUAAACAAAAGAUGUUAUAAAGGGUGAUGGAAUGCCAAAUAAAUACUGCAAGGUCAUAAAGGAAUCGCUGAUGAACGACAAGAUGUUUUCACAACAGUUUUAUUCUUAUAAAGGAAGUAUUGGAACAGAGGCCUGAUUUCUGUCUGGUAGGAGAAUUUCAAGUAGGAAGUUAUAUUGAGGUUGAAGAAAUGACAACGGGAAGUAUUAAUUAAAAGUUGAAACUGAAAUGGAGGAGAGUAAAGUCUCUGCUGUGAUUGUGAUAUUUUUCUUCGCCCAUCAGCUCGUUUGUUGUUGUCUGGAUCUACAAAGACUUUAUUCUUUGGUUAUUUUGGAUUGAAGAUAAUAAUAGCAUAAUAUUCUAUGAGUCACAUGUGUUUUUAUCUUUUUGAUUGGUUUUUUUAUAGCAUGUAUAUGUAGUUUUUUUUGAAUUAUUGAUCCCAUAUUAUUAUGUAAUACACAUGAGAAUUCAAAUAUAUAUUUGUAAAACAUUAA